rnacentral:lncRNA from 1 species
CUCUGGGUGGGGAGCCUGAGUGGGAGCAGGAGAGGAACCAUUACCCCAGAGAAUUCAGCCUGGAGCCAAAGCAAGUGGGAAAAGGUCACCUCAUCAAGACUUUUAUUAAAGUUCCCAGCAUGGCGUGCCCUCUCUCUGCCUCUUUGCAUCCUACCCAUCCUUCACCACCUCGCCACUCCAUAAAGCCCUCUCUGAUCACACCAGUCUGCAGCGAUCUCGCCCUGCUCUGAACACAUAAGCGCUCAUUAUCUGCACCACUCAUUUUGCAAUUAAUCGUGUACUGCCUUGUGACAUCGCUUCUAGUGCUUUGUCUGACUGUUAUCCAACUUCUCACCUGCUGACGGAUGGAACCCUUGAUGACAAUAUGAGUGACUGGACAGCAGGAGCUACAGCUCCUACAUCUCUGUGUCCCUAACAUUACCUGGCAGAGGCCUCAACACCAACAUGGAAGACAGCUAAGUAACCGCCAAGAUUGAGUUGGCUUGGAAGGAGAUGAACACAGACCAAGGAGCCAGAAGGUAUACUUCAAUUCUACCUCCUCUGAUAAAACUUAUCCCAGGCGUCCGGCUCCCACCUGAGAUUGCAGGAAUCUUCAAGCCUUAACAUAUCUACUGGGCCUCAAGAUGCAGCAGGCCCUCAGAGAGCCAUCGCAACCAUCACAACACUCCUGGAGAGCCCCAGGGAACGUACAUAUCUUCAUUCCACCUACGUUCUUAUGAAGUAGCUUGUCUUCUCCUUCAUUUAAAAAAUGAAGAAACUCUCCACUCUCACUGCUUCAUUUGACUACCCUUUAAAAAAAAAAGGAGAAACUGAGACCUAUAAAUUUUAUCAAAACCCUGA